rnacentral:tRNA from 1 species
GGACAGGUGCCGGAGUGGCCUAACGGGAUCGUCUGCAAAACGAUUUAUCGUGGGUUCGAAUCCCACCCUGUCCU